rnacentral:rRNA from 1 species
GAUGAACGCUAGCGGCAGGCCUAACACAUGCAAGUCGAGGGGUAGAGUUCUUCGGGACUUGAGACCGGCGCACGGGUGCGUAACGCGUAUGCAAUCUACCUUAUACAGGGGAAUAGCCCAGAGAAAUUUGGAUUAAUGCCCCAUAGUGUUAUCGAAUCGCAUGGUUUGAUAACUAAAGUUCCAACGGUAUAAGAUGAGCAUGCGUCCCAUUAGUUAGUUGGUAAGGUAACGGCUUACCAAGACAAUGAUGGGUAGGGGUCCUGAGAGGGAGAUCCCCCCACACUGGUACUGAGACACGGACCAGACUCCUACGGGAGGCAGCAGUGAGGAAUAUUGGUCAAUGGGCGCAAGCCUGAACCAGCCAUGCCGCGUGCAGGAAGACGGUCCUAUGGAUUGUAAACUGCUUUUAUACAGGAAGAAACCCUCCCACGUGUGGGAGCUUGACGGUACU